UCGGAGGGGGAUAGUGGCGAACGGGUGAGUAACACGUGGGUAAUUUUCCUUUAGGCUCGGGACAACACUGCGAAAGUAGUGCUAAUACCGGAUGAGACCACAGUUUCCAAGAAACUGAGGUUAAAGGGGGGGAUUCUGAAAAUGAACCUCUCACCUAUAGAUAAGCCCGCGUCCUAUCAGCUUGUUGGUGGGGUAAAAGCCUACCAAGGCGAUGACGGGUAGCUGGUCUGAGAGGAUGGUCAGCCACACUGGGACUGAGACACUGCCCAGACUCC
rnacentral:rRNA from 1 species